CUUCUUCCCCCUUCCCUCUCUGCAACACCCUAUCCGCCUCUUCCAACUCACUGACGCCUCUCCAACCACCACCAGAGCCAUCUAAUCACAUCAACCCUAAGACCAUCAUCACCUCUGUGUAAGAUGUCUCUCAAACUACCUUUUCAAUUUCACACGUCGCCCAAACCCUAACAGUUUGUGUGUGAAAUUGGAGAGAGUAGUUAGAAGCCAUCAAUAGAAGCAAUUGGAGGCAGCAAAAGACGCAGGAGAAGAAAUUGAAGUAUGGGUCGACGCACUUGAGUGAUUUCAGAGAUUAGGUACCUUGCUGCUGGGCUGGUGCUGCUGUUGGAGGUGAUCCUGGUGCUGCUUCACUGGGAUGUUCACAAGCCAAAGAGGAGAGCCAAUUACCCUGCUGGGCUGUGAGCUGUGGGAGUUGAAGAAGGAAAAGCCCAACUGGGCUGGUGCUGCUGUUGGAGGUGAACAAUUGCACUAAAGCCCAACUGGGCUGGUGCAACAAAAAGGGACCAAAGCCCAAUUGGGCUUCCCUCCAAAACAGUAAGCCUAAACCAAAAUUCUGUCUUUUGGGCUUGUAUUUUUGAAUUAUGGGCUUGUAAUAUUGUUUAUUGGGUUUGUAUCUUUUGGACUUUUGGGCUUGUAACCUUAAAUUUGGACUGUGGGCUUGUGUUAAAAGACAAUUUCUGUUUGGGCUUGUAAUUAAGUUGUUUGUGGGUUUAUUUAAAUUGAAUGAGCUUGUAGUUUUAA